UGCCAGACUCCUACGGGAGGCAGCAGUGGGGAAUAUUGCACAAUGGGGGAAACCCUGAUGCAGCAACGCCGCGUGAGUGAAGAAGUCAUUCGUGAUGUAAAGCUCUAUCAGCAGGGAAGAAAAUGACGGUACCUGAGUAAGAAGCCCCGGCUAACUACGUGCCAGCAGCCGCGGUAAUACGUAGGGGGCAAGCGUUAUCCGGAUUUACUGGGUGUAAAGGGAGCGUAGACGGCGAUGCAAGCCAGAUGUGAAAGCCCGGGGCUCAACCCCGGGACUGCAUUUGGAACUGUGUGGCUGGAGUGUCGGAGAGGCAGGCGGAAUUCCUAGUGUAGCGGUGAAAUGCGUAGAUAUUAGGAGGAACACCAGUGGCGAAGGCGGCCUGCUGGACGAUGACUGACGUUGAGGCUCGAAAGCGUGGGGAGCAAACAGGAUUAGAUACCCCAGUAU
rnacentral:rRNA from 1 species